rnacentral:rRNA from 1 species
AUUGAACGCUGGCGGCAUGCCUUACACAUGCAAGUCGAACGGCAGCGGGGGAGAAGCUUGCUUUUCCUGCCGGCGAGAGGCGAACGGGGGAGUAAUACAUCGGAACGCGCCCUGUAGUGGGGGAUAACUAGUCGAAAGAUUAGCUAAUACCGCAUACGAACUGAGGGUGAAAGUGGGGGACCGCAAGGCCUAAUGCUAUAGGAGCGGCCGAUGGCUGAUCAGCGUGUUGGUCGGGUAAAGACCUACCAAGGCGACGAUCAGUAGCGGGUCUGAGAGGAAGAUCAGCCACACUGGAACUGAGACACGGCCCAGACCCCUACGGGAGGCGGAAGUGGGGAAUUUUGGACAAUGGGCGAAAGCCUGAUCCAGCAAUGCCGCGUGUGUGAAGAAGGCCUUCGGGUUGUAAAGCACUUUUGUCCGGAAAGAAAUGGCUCUGGUUAAUACCUGGGGUCGAUGACGGUACCGGAAGAAUAAGGACCGGCUAACUACGUGCCAGCCGCCGCGGUAA